GGGCUGUGGUUUCAUUUUCCCCAGUUCUCUAACUUCUCAGGAAGCCCAGAGUUUCUCCCUAAAGAAAGGUGGCCCUGCACUCUUUCCUCUCCUCCAAAAUUAGGCUUCAGUAGUUGUCCUCUAAGUUGAUAUUUAGACCUUAAAAUCUAGACUUCUUGGAUCAACAAGAAAUACGCAGGAAGUUCCACAUGAUCUCGUGUGAUAGCACGUAACUUAGUGCUACAGGUGACAGUUUUAUUUUUGGAGGAGUCUUAUUUUACAUAGGGAAAUAGAAAACUAAGUGGCUUCCCUUGAGGCAGCCCGAGGGCUCCACUGGACCCAGAACUCUGAGUUCUGAUGCUGCCUAUCAUUUGCUUUUCCUCAUGAGCUCCUGGACCACCUCAUAUCACCAGCACCCUCUACCCAAGGUCCUGGAGCCAACACUGGAGUAAAAGAGCACAAGAGAACUCCUUAGAGGUGGAAGUGGCUGGAAGUUGCAGAGGUUUCAGAAGCUCAUCCAAGAUUCUGGAGCCUCCAUCUCCAGCCCUAAUGCUGUCCGCCUUUUCACCCAGCCACCACCUGUUUCAGGAGAACACACAGAAGUGAUGACCUUUUCUGGACAGAUAACCCUAAGGAAUAUCUUGGAUGUCUUCACGGGGCUUAUGACUUAUUCUGAGGUUUACAAAAUAGAGGCCCCCAGCUGAGCAAAGAGAGGGCUGCAGCGCCGAGGGAACAGCUGCCGGACUCACCGGAGAGGCCUCCUGGAGCACGCCGGGACCCCCUCCACCCCCUGGCUUUGGCUGCAUCAAUGGCUAGUUUGCCUGAACUAUAUCUGAGCCACUGAGAGUAUUUAUUAAGCAGAGAAUAAUUUUGAGUUUCACUUUUAUAACUUUUGUUUCAAAAGUUGUUUUGGAUAAUUUAAUGAAAUGACUGUAAACCAGAAUUCCCCUUUUCAUUAUUUCUUUGUGUCAAUAUAAAAAGAGUUGAUGAUUUUAAAAGCCAGUGAGAUGUCCCUGUCUGUGGAUGUCAGCGGGAGGGUGGGGUCUGACGCCUUUCUCUGGUGGCUGUCCAGGAAGAUUGCCCCAGCUUGCACUCCCUUUUGGCGGGUUCCAGAGCCUUCCAUUUGAAAGGAGCAUCUCUCACCACUCUGCCCCACCCAGCACCAGCUCUUCUGGAACCCACUGACUUCCUAAACACUUUCUUCCUCCUUCACCUCAUUGAAUUCAAGACUUUAGAAAACAGCCAAAAACUCUAGAGGUGGGGGUGGGUUCGAUCUGGAAAUCCCUGCUGUAAUCUUUUUAAGGGAAUCCACUGGAAAUUAUUAAUUUAUGUUUUAAAUAAAACCAUUCCUUACUUAACAGAAUAUUAAGCCACUCAUUUUUUUAACAGAACUUUCGAGAUAUAAUUAAAAUGCCAUAAAUUUCACCCCCACACAGUGUACAAUUCCAAGGUUUCCAAUAUAGUCACAGAAGUCUCUGCAACAAUUACCACAAUUUUAGACAUGAAGACCAUUUGUUGGCAGCCCUACCUGCCUCUAUGUGUAUGUAUAUAAUUUUAAUAUUGGAUUGGAUACUAUAGUAAUAUUGUACUGUUACCUAUUUGUGUUUUUAUAUUGCUGUUUUAUUUUAUUCAGAUGAAUAAUAAUUAUCUCCAUAUAGUCAUACAUUUAUAUAGGGUUAAACACACCUUUUUACAAUUCAAUAAAUUAAAUUGGUCAGGUAUGGUGGCUCACGCCUGUAAUCCCAGCACUUUGGGAGGCCAAGGCGGGUGGAUCACCUGAGGUUGGGAGUUUGAGACCAGCGUGAUCAACAUGGAGAAACCCUGUCUGUACUAAAAAUACAAAAAAUUAGCCAGGCAUGGUGGCACAUGCCUGUAAUCCCAGCUACUUGGGAGGCUGAGGCAGGAGAAUCACUCGAACCAAGGAGGCGGACAUUGCGGUGAGCCAGGAUCGCACCAUUGCACUCCAGCCUGGGCAACAAGAGCAAAACUCCAUCUCAAGAAGAAAAAAAAAAAAAAAGUAAAUUGUUUUUAAUUACAUAAGAAACACGUGUUAUUGUUAUAGAAAUUCACAUAGUGCUUCGGUCUAUAGAAUAAAUGUAUCCCCACCACCUCCCAGCCCACCCACUCGUCUGCAUUCACCUACACACAGUUAAACAUGCACAUAUGUUUCCGUGACACGAUCUUGCUUUGCAUAUUGUUCACUGACUGGCUUUUCCAUAUAAGAUUUAAUUUGGUGAUUAUUGCUUAUCAGUACCUAUAGGUCUCUCUCAUUAUUAUUUAUAAUUACAUCAUUAUUCCAUAGGGUAUUUUACCACAAUUUGGUCACUUUUUCACUGAGGAAUUUUUAUGUCAGUUUCAGUUAUUUGUUAUUGUUACCAAUGCUGUACUGGGCAUCCCUGUAUAUCCACCUUUUUGUUGCAUUAGUUAAGUGGUUUUUUCCUUUUAUGAUUGAUUUCUAAAAAUAAAAUACUGCAGCAAAUGUUAAUGUUUAAUAUUUUCAUAAAAUUAAAAAUCUGUGUUCCAAAAAGAAAUCAAUGGUUUAUACUUCUACCAUCAAUGUAUGAGAAUUCCUAUUUCCCCACACCCUUAAUUACAUAGGAAAUUAUCAAUGUUUGCCAAUUUUAUGAUUUUAAAAUAUUUUUACUUUUAAUUUGGAUUUCUCCACUUAUUAGGGAGAUUGUGCAUAUUUGUGUAUGUGUGUUGGCCGUUUGUAUUUCUCCCUGUGAUUUUCAUAAUGAUACGUUUUCCUAGUUUUCUAAUUCAUUUAGUGAUAUUCUUUAUAUGUUCUGCACAUUUAUUAUUUCCAUAUAAUUACUGAGUUUUUUUUAAGGUCUGUGUCAUAACUUUUACUUUGUUUAUAUUGUUUUUGUUUUGAAGAAGGUUUUCUUUUUACAUAGUCAAAUUUUCAAUAUUUUCCUUACCAUUUCUGGAUUUUGUGACAGGCUUUCAAUAGUUGGUCCUUCUAGGGCUUUAUUGAUUUGUUUUGUUUUAAAGAACAUGCUCAAAUCCUACAUUAUAUAGUGAUUUACUUGUUCCCUUUAUAACACGUGGUAGACAUUACUAGUUCCAAUUAAUGUAGAUUAAAUGUAUUCUUUUCAGUUGUGUAGUAAUUCAUAGAUACGUUCUGAUUUCUUUAUUCUCUGUUAGAUGGAUAUUAAGCUUAUUUUUUAAAAUUCCCACCACUAAUGACUUUCCAGUAAUCAUCAAUAUACAUAGAUCCCCCCAAUGUUUUUGUUUUUUUGUUUUUAUGUAGUAUACGAAUCUCAAAAUGGUAUAAUUGAGCUACGAUAAAUUUAAUUAUAAUUUAAAAAAUACUGACAUUAUUUUUCACAGAGUUAAUCAGAUCACACUCUUACCAAUUACAUAAGUAGGCCUCUUCCUAUGUAGGCUCAAUAG
rnacentral:lncRNA from 1 species